rnacentral:rRNA from 1 species
CAUAGCGACUAUCGUGGCAUAUCAAUAAGCGGAGGAAAAGAAACUAACAAGGAUUCCCCUAGUAACGGCGAGUGAGGCGGGAAGAGCUCAAAUUUGAAAUCUUAAAGGGUUUCCCUUUACGAAUUGUAGUUUAAAGAAGUGUUUUCUGUUGGAGUUUCGGUAAAAGUUCUUUGGAAUAGGACAUCAUAGAGGGUGAGAAUCCCGUAUUUGACCGUUACUUUCCAGCUGUGUGAUACACUUUCAAAGAGUCGGAUUGUUUGGGAAUGCAGUCCAAAAUGGGUGGUAAAUUUCAUCUAAAGCUAAAUAUUGGCGAGAGACCGAUAGCGAACAAGUACCGUGAGGGAAAGAUGAAAAGAACUUUGAAAAGAGAGUUAAACAGUACGUGAAAUUGUCAAAAGGGAAGCGUUUGACACCAGUGUUGUUUAGUUGAAAAUCAAUUCAAUAAUUUUUGAUUUUAAGUAGUAUUGACUUCAUCAGCUUGCUGCUUUCUUUUCAGGAAUUAUUGAAUGCACUUUUCAGUUAACAAGUCAACAUCAAUUUCUUUUGUUGUAAAAGGGUAAGAGGAAGGUGGCUUACGCUUCGGCGUAAGUGUUUAUAGCCUUUUACCUCUGCAAUCGGAGAGAUUGAGGACAGCAGCGUAGACUCUUCGGGGUUAGAUACACUUGUGCUAAGCUAUAGCCUUGUAUAGACAACUUGUUGACUAUGCUCAGUCAUGUAGCUUACUCGCUUAGUGCUAUUUUACCUACGCUUAGGAUGUUGAUAGUCACAGCGUGUAC